rnacentral:rRNA from 1 species
GAUGAACGCUGGCGGCGUGCCUAAUACAUGCAAGUCGAGCGAACAGACGAGGAGCUUGCUCCUCUGACGUUAGCGGCGGACGGGUGAGUAACACGUGGAUAACCUACCUAUAAGACUGGGAUAACUUCGGGAAACCGGAGCUAAUACCGGAUAAUAUAUUGAACCGCAUGGUUCAAUAGUGAAAGACGGUUUUGCUGUCACUUAUAGAUGGAUCCGCGCCGCAUUAGCUAGUUGGUAAGGUAACGGCUUACCAAGGCAACGAUGCGUAGCCGACCUGAGAGGGUGAUCGGCCACACUGGAACUGAGACACGGCCCAGACUCCUACGGGAGGCAGCAGUAGGGAAUCUUCCGCAAUGGGCGAAAGCCUGACGGAGCAACGCCGCGUGAGUGAUGAAGGUCUUCGGAUCGGAAAACUCUGUUAUUAGGGAAGAACAAAUGUGUAAGUAACUAUGCACGUCUUGACGGUACCUAAUCAGAAAGCCACGGCUAACUACGUG